GCUGAGUAUAAAUAUCAACAGGUAGAAAUAUCUGUAUUUGAAGAAACGAAUUACAGCGCCCUGAAAAUGAUUGUAGUCGCAUUGGAUAAAAAAACUUAGCUUAAAAGCUUACAUUAAUAUAAGUUAUUGUGUGUUAGCGGCUAUAUAACUAAUUUUACCAGUGGCCUACCAGCCUACCAAGACCAAUGUCAUAUCAAGGCAUUACUCAGGGUAGGUACUAUACGUUUUAAUGCUAUUACCUAAUGG
rnacentral:lncRNA from 1 species